UAUAGGAGGUCCAGCCUGCCCAGUGACCAUAAGUUCAACGGCCGCGGUAUUUUGACCGUGCAAAGGUAGCGCAAUCACUUGUCUUUUAAAUAGAGACCUGUAUGAAUGGCUAAACGAGGGCUUAACUGUCUCCCUUUUCAAGUCAGUGAAAUUGAUCUACCCGUGCAGAAGCGGGUAUAACAAUACAAGACGAGAAGACCCUUUGGAGCUUAAGGUACAAAACUCAACCACGUCAAGCAACUUAAUAAAAAGCAAAAACUCUGUGAAACAUGAAAUUUUACCUUCGGUUGGGGCGACCACGGAGGAGAAAGAAGCCUCCAAGUGGAUUGGGACAAAUCCCUAAAACUAAGAGAGACAUCUCUAAGUCACAGAACAUCUGACCAAACAUGAUCCGGCCACCAGGACCGAUCAACGAACCAAGUUACCCUAGGGAUAACAGCGCAAUCCCCUCCCAGAGUCCAUAUCGACGAGGGGGUUUACGACCUCGAUGUUGGAUCAGGACAUCCUAAUGGUGCAGCCGCUAUUAAGGGUUCGUUUGUUCAACGAUUAAAGUCCUACGUGA
rnacentral:rRNA from 1 species